CUGUCAAUGAGACAGAGUAACCAGGAACUAAUCUUGGGUUAUGAAAAACAUUCUUCAACUACCAGCGGCAGCGUAUUUCAUUAUCUAAGAGUUAUUUCCCGGGAGUAUAUAGAAGGGGACAUCAAAAACAUUCAAAGGAUGCGGGACCAAAGCUAUAAUCCAGCCCUUGGGAGAUGGAAACAGGAGAAUCCUAAAUUCGGGACCAGCCUGGGCUACCCUCCACAAAGCUGACUGGAACUUUAUUAUGUGUCCAAAAGGGUGAAAGGCAUGAGUCCCGGAGUCCACGGGGAAGCAGACUUCUCAAGGACAAGCUAGCCUGGAAGCUCCCCAACAUGAGGUCCUCAGGUCUUGGAAACUCCAUCGACUCCUCUGACGUGAGACUUAGCCAAUGAGCUUAAAGCCUGACUCAGCUCUUCAGCUCCAAGACCAAGUGAUGCUCCAUUCCAACCCAGUCCCAUGAGCAUCCUGAUUAAUAACUUGCCAGAUCGAGACAUCGGUUAUCUGAAGAAACAUCUGCUGCCAUUACAACAGUCGCUCCCAGCUUGACUCUGGCGGUUAGGUGCCUGGCCACACCAGGAGCGUCCUAUGCACUGUGAUCAAGGUAAUCCCCGCAGCAGUGAUCACUGUCUCCACCGCCACAGAGCCUUUCAAGGAUGCUGGCACUCCCCACUCAGCAUUUCAUCACAUCUGGUCCACAGAUACCUUCUCCAGCUUCCCGAUCAACACGGCGGGGGAUGGCAACAAUUGAUGAAUGAGCUUCACAUUCCUCCACGUCUGCGUCAAGAACACUCUAACGUCAGUAUUAUGGAAUACUGAGCCCAGAGUUCAACCAGCCAAGGAAAGCGUCAGAGCCACUCUGGCUGCACCAGCACUUACACGUUCAAUCGAGCAUCGCUUUAAAAGCGUCCGUAUGAGCGCAAUUGGGGUUACCUAACUUUGGCUUGUCUCCUCUCUGGAGUAGCACUCUCCAAAUUAAUUGACAACGUGUUCCUUAGGCUUUUGUACACUAGCAAAAUAUGGAAAUUCUUCCAAAAUAUAAGCCAUAUGCUCCUGCACUAAACUUGGUGUGCGUCUCCUUGGAGCAUGUUGAGAUCUGACUGGUUUUGAAUCUGGAGUCAUCCAUGGGGGUCAGAAAGGGACUUGGAAAGAACAGGCACCCUUCCCAAGGAGGCCUGAUCCCCCCGCCCUCAACCAGGAGGCCUUGGAUCCUCAAGCCAGCCGAGUUUGAGAGAACAGACUUGAAACUGAGUGAAUGCAAUUUUGGGCAUGUUAACACACCCAGAGACUUGACUACAAGAAAAGACAUGAAGAAAUAGUCGUGCUGUUAAGCUGUGCGUGGAGUCAGCACGAGAGUCGCAGCUGUAAAUGCGUUCAGGGUAGAAUGGCCGUGGAAUCUGAGUGUACCCAGUGCAGUGUAGCCCUGCGGAGGCAGACGACAAGAGUGCUGUGUGUUGGUGGUUGGUCUGGUGCUGGGACUGCAAAUGCCGAUUCCAGGGCCUUGAGAUCUGGUUACUGCCCUGCCAGAGGUAUUGUUACAAUGUUGAACUACCUCCUGUACCUAUGUGAUGAAUUAUCCCUGAUUGCUUGAUUAAAAGGCCUGCACUUGGGCAGAGCAGAAGGUGGCAGGUGUGGCUAAGAUUGGGGGCUUUGGAGGACAGAAGGAUCCUGGGACGGACAGGAAGAGUGAAGGAAGGAGGAAGCUGCCAUGGUUAGUGGAGAGAGAACCACGUGGGCCUGGAGGAAGGACUCUGAGAAUGGAGGAAGUGAACCAGAUGAAGAAUAAGCAAGUAUUUAUGGAAUUAUGGAUGGGAGGUGGGCUAGAUAGGAAUCAUCAAAGCAGAUGGAAUGGGCUGGGGGCUGGGAGACACGAGAUAGUGUAGGCGGAAUUAUCUCUUCAGUCCAAAGUGAAAUAAGGCAAUCUCAAAUCUAACAUGUGUCUGUGUCCUUUAUUGAUUAUGAUAGCAGAUUACAUAAUACCACUGUAAUAAUUAUAGGGCUAAUAAUAAAUGUUAUUAGAUCCUACUUAUAAAUUAACAGCAGCAUGCCAAUAAUAAAGUAAUUUGCCAAAGUGGUGAGCAACUUUUGAUAAUAUUCAAAACAAAAUAAUGUAUUAUUUCUCUUCAUAUGAAAUUUUAUUGCAUACUGACUAUUCAAUCAGUGGUAUGUAUUUUACCUCUAUGAAUGCCAUCCAAAAAUUGAAAGUUUAUGGAGGAAAGAGGUAGUUAACAUUUCAUGGCUGUGCACUGGAUAUUGUGAGACUAGCCCUUCUCAAGAUCCCAAAGGAACUGUGAGGAGAGGGUAAUUCCAUCUUUGUGGUGACUAGCCAGCCAGAGUGUCUUCCUCCAGAGCCUGGCAUGAAGAGUCCAAAUCUCACCAUGAGUGAAAUUGGAAGCCAGGUGGACUUUUGUUGUUGCUGUGUUUGUUUGGGGUUUUUGCUUGUUUGUUUGUUUCCUGAUAGGCUCCCAUAGGCUGGCCUUGAACUCAUGAUUCUCCCCUUCGGCCUGCUUAAUGGUGAGAUGGCAGGUAUGUACCCCUAGGACCAGCUACCCCAGGGGCUUCUGUGUGGAGAACAGAUGGGGAAAACAAGAAUGGCAGUGGAAAACCUAGACUAGAGGUCCCAGUAUUCCAGAAAAGUUGACUACUGUAGUUACUUUACCAAAAGAACUCAAGGGAGGGAAGAUUUAUUUUGCUUUUUGGUUUCUAGGUUUCAGGUCAAGUUUGCUUGGGCAAUAUGGUGGCUGUUCUUUAUUUAGAGAGAGCAAAAAAUAGAGAAACAACUUUUAGGAAUGAGCCAGGGCAAGCAGAGCCUCCAAGGACCCACAUAAAGGGCUUGGCAUGGUGACAUGUACUUGCAAUCCCAGGUGCGGGGAAAGACAGGUGGAAAUAACGGAUCGCUGGAGUCCAUGUCAGCUAGACUAACCGAAUCAGUGUGUUUUCAGGUAACAUAAGAGAACUGUCUUAGAAGUUACAGUAGAGAGUGACUUAAGGAGAUACCCAAUGUUGACUCCUGACCUACACACACACACAAACACACAGGCACACACUCCAAUUUGAAGUGCAAAUAAAGUGAAUAGAGAAGGUAGCUGACACAAAGAGAUAGCUGUGACCGUGUUCUGGAAAUUCCAACGAGGCAAUCCGUCUCUUGGGAUGACUUGAUCAGAAAAUUGGAAGACUAGAGGGUCCUUAUGAUAGUGUGAGAGACUGAGUUUGCUCUUAUGAAGUUAAACAGUUUUGAUGACGAGAAAUUCAGGUACCAAGAUGGAGCAAAUGAGCAGAGACAGAGAGAAGUCAAGGCCCGGAGAGCUUUGGAGUGGGAAGGGCUGCCCAGAUGGACUUGGAAGCUCUUGGCAAGGCGGACUUGUGAGGGCAGUGUAAACCAGGUAGAAGUCACAGAGAGCUGUGUUGUGGUAAAUUUAUGGUCUCAGGCCAAAGCUUAUUAUUAACGCUAUAAUUAUUAUGGUGAUAUUAUCUAACCCGCUAUCACAAUCAGUAAGACACAGACACCUGUUAGACUUUAUAAUUGCCUUAUAACACCUUGGGCCAGGCAGAUAUUCUACCUACGCUGUCUGAAUGGCUUCACCAUCCACGUCCCUGCCCCCAUCCUGUGCCUUCCUCCUUCACCAUUCCUUUCUGGGCCGCCUUCCAUCAUAGUUUUAUAAACACUUGCUUGUGUUUUUCAUCUGAGCCUUUCCAUGACAUUCUUGGAGUCCUUUCUCAUGGCCCACAUGGUUCCUUUGAUGCUAAUCCAUCAUGAUGUCCUCCUUCCUCCUCUCUCAAGUCUCUGUCUCCUCCCCAUGAUUCUCCUGUCCCUGAAGCCCAGGAACCUUAGCCACGCCUACCUCCUUCUACCCUGCCCAGGUACAGGCCUUUUAACCAACCAAUCAGGAAUAAUGUUUACACAACAAAGAUAGGGUAGUAACCAGAUCUUGAGGCCCAGCAAUUAGCAUUAAAAUACAAGCAUCAGACCAACCCCCAACUGGUGGGAGGCUGUGGCCAGGAAGUGUACACAUGGCAGCAUUUAGGAGGGUGGUAGUUGGUAUAGUCAAAAGGCUCAAAGGUAAACGUUGGAGGGAUUUUUACAUGAGAGCAGAAAGGCAAGUCUAGCAGUGGCACUGGGGAGAGAGGCCACAACCCAAAGGUCACAUGGCUCAGACUUCACUUCUCAGGUGAGGGGAAGAAGGAGCAUUAGCCAACCUCUAAGACAUCCUCCAUGUUCCUGCCUGCGGUGCUCACACCUGCGGCGUGUCAGGGUCCGCUCGAGGAAGGCGCAGCGCAGUAGAGCUGGUGCUGUGUUGCCUGUAAGCCUGGGCUACAGUGCUGUUGCAGCCUCUGCCCAGUUCCCUGGUUUUCUUUGGGAGAAGACAGUUGCCAUAGCAUAAGCUGCCCUGUGGAGAGGCCCUCAGGUCAGGAACUGAAGCUGUUGAUGAUGGCUUUGUGAGUGACCUCGGCAGCAGCCUCCAACCCAGCCAGCCUUCAGAUGCCAGAGCAGUACCUCAUCUUCUUUGCUGUCUCUUAGCAGUGGAGACACUUCCAAACCGCCUACAGAAACUGGGGGAUCAUAGUGCUCCUUGUUGUAAGCUGUUACAUUUGGAGCCAUUUGUUGCGCAGCAAUGGAUAAAUAAGACUUUUUGUCACUUAUGCAAAACCACAAAGCUCAGCUAGCAGCCAAUUUGUGGAGCACAGGACUUCAAACUCUCCAGUUAAUGUUCUAUGACCACACACAGUGUCCCAGUGUAGCUCGGAUUUCUUUGUGUUGCUGGAAACAGGGACGGAGGUGAUGGUGAUUCCUGUCAGUUGCCAACUCCACACAAUCUAGGAUUACCUGGGAAGAGAGUCUCAAUGCCUAGAUAAAAUUUUGGGUAAGUCUUCAAGGGAUUAUCUUGGUUUUAUUCCUUGGUGUGGGGGGAGCUGCCCACAGUGGGCUGUGGCUUUAAUUUUUUUAAACCUAUUUUAUUUGGAGUUCAUAAACACCUCUACCCCCAUUCAAACCUAUGACCCUAGGUAGGAGAGAAAGAAGGUUGGUAGCGACAAGGGAUAUAGACCUUUUUACAAUUAGUUCCUUAGAGCAAUUUUCCUCCUCCUCAUCAGAAUUUCAACAGUUCAGCAAACAGCAGUGGCCUUCUUUAAGCAUUCUCAGCAGUGUUUCUCUCUAGGACCAUCUCUCUUUCUCUUUCUGCCCUGCUCUUAUUCAUACCCUCUCAGUCUGCACAAGACUGUUUUCCCUCACAAACCACGCCCCCUGCCACGAGGCAGUUUCCAGCUGACAAAGAUUGAUGUGCCCUCUCAGGAAGCUGUUAAGCAUUCCAACAUCUCAUACUUGGGAUUAAGCAAAAGUAUGUUUGCUUUUGUAACAUAAUCAAAACUCCACAGUGGGUGGCACCAUGCCCUAGGCAGGGGGUCCUAAACCGUAAGUGCAGAGCCGGACUAAGUGUAGAGAGGCAUGCCUGCAUUGUCUUCCUCUGCUCUGGACCGUGAAUGUGACUAGAUUCUGCCAUCCUGACUUCCCUGCUAUGAUAAUCUGCUGUGACAGACUGUAAGCCUGGAACUGUGAACGAAAAUCAAUCCUUUCUUCCCUGUUUUCUGUCAGGGUGUUGAAUCACAGCAACAGGAAAAAAGUAAACAUAAAAACUAAGACAACAUCCCUGAAGAAGACUUCCUUGUACCUUGUGGAUAUCUAUUCUUUGCGAAACCAAAAUUGAGAUUCCUGGCCUAAGUGAAUUUCAGGGCGAGGCAACAUGAAGCAGAGCUGACAUUUCUUGGGACAUAUUUAUAAUGCAGAUCUUAAGCACAAGGCUUAAUAGAAACAGGCCAAGGACGAGGUGUGCGCAAGUGCGGGUAUAGACUUCUCCAGGGGUCACACUUAAUUCCUCCCACCCUCCCUCCUCCUUUUCUUCCUUCUCUCCUUUCUUUUUAGAUUUGUUUGUUUUGUUGUACUGUGCCAGUGUUUUGCCUGCAUGUAUGCGUGUGCACUGUGGGGGGGGGGGGUAUGUGUGUGAGAGUGUGUGCAUGUUUGGUGCCCUUGGAGGUCAGAAGAGGGUGCUAGAUCCCCUGGGGCUGGAACUAAAGGGUCACUGUAGUUGCUAUAAAACUUCCUUCCCCAUUUUAACAUUGCUCAGAGUGCAUUGCUUAUAACAAGGUUAAGAAUUUUUCUCUAAACAAAAAGUUAUCAGGCAGAUUUUGGGAGUUUGUGGUAUUGUUUAUAUUUAGGAGUGAGAGAUGAGUGAAGCCUGUACAUGCAUUAUUUGGGCUGGAAGAAAGUAUAGCUUAUUUAGUGUCCUUGACAGUUGGAAAAUAGAUGUUAUCUCUGUGGCAGUUUGGGCUUUAUCAAUGGCACCUGACAUUUCCUGCCUUCUCAGCAGAGAGGGCAGAGCAGAGCCUGGGGUGAAGGGCCUAUGCUCCCCCUACCCCAGUUUCCUCUCCAAGGCACCAUAAUUUUUCAGUCUUCCCACCUUCCUUGUUCGGACUGCACAUCUGUGAUUCAGAAAGUAUUAACAGCACCCAGGAAACAGCUUGUGGCUCAUGGUUUUGCUAUUUCAUAGGAAAAAAAAAAAAGAAAAGAGAGAAAAAAGAAAAGCCCUGCCAUGCUUCCUCCAGGAAUUCAGAGGAGAGUCAGCAGUGUGACUAUUUUCUGUGUCCCCACAACAGUUACAUGUAAGCAUUUCUAGAGGACCCUGUGGCUUUGAGGUUCUGGAAGGUCUGGGAUUAGUGCAAGUGUAUGCAAUCGCUCAUUUGUAAAACCAGAAAAGCAUUUCUACUGGGCCAUUACCCACUGGGCAGGAAUGGGCUCAUGUACCUGGGCUUUUGUUGUGUCUGUGAAAUUCUUCAGUUAGGUCUGACCUUCCUGGUGGUGGAUCAGUGAUGGGAUCUAGCAUCAGCAUUUCUGCCUGUGACCUCAAAACUCGGGAUUCAGAGAAGGGCAAGCUGCCAAAAAGGCACUUUGUGGCUUCUGUUCCUGUGUCACGGUAUCCGCAAUUUGCAUGCAGAUGAGCAGUAUGUCAGAGGAAGGCCUCCAGUGUCUGUGACCCUUUGACUUCUUAUUUGAAUCUCAGGUUUUAAAAUAAAAAUGUGAUUAUGCCUCAUUCAUUUUUCCUGUCUUAAAAAUACAACUAGAAUCAAACUGCCUUUAAAACGCUUGUUGUGUCCCCAUCGAGAAGCUGCUUUUUGAAGAUGAAGACAUGUUUGUCUUUGUAUUGAUCCCAGCAUUCGACCAAACCAGUGAGCACAGAUGGAGGGGUACCUGUUAUUUUAAAAAUGAUGCGCACAACAGAUAUUACAUGAAAGAGGUUUAUUGGGUGGAGGUGGAGAGAGAGGGGAGGAGAGAGAGAGAGAGAUGGUAGGGGAGGGAGCACCACAGAGAAAGGGGAGAGAGCAAGAGAAAGAGAGUGAGGUGAGAGGCAGAGGUCCUUUUUAAUCCCUGUGGGCUUGGCCAAUGAUGACAUCAUAGGUGCCUAAGCAACCUAGAAUUGGGCUAAUGCAUCCACUGACAGUACCCCUAGCGGGGGAGCUGGUAGUGGCUGCUGGCUGGGAGAGGGAGGGCACUGUUCUUCAGGGAGGUGGCUUGCAGGUAGCUUGCAGAGGCCAACUGUACACUGAUGUUCACACAGGAAACCCUCAGUGAGAGUUGAGGUCUGAGUGAGGAACGCUGCCAUUUAUCCCCUCUUCCCCCACAUCUCAGGCAUCUGGACACUUGGUCCCCAGCUGGGGGCAUUGUUGGGGUCCCUCUGGGUGGUGAAGACUUGCUGGAGGAAGUGUGUCUGAGGUGGGCUUUGGUAUUAAGGCACCCAGUUUGUUUUCCUUGCUUUGUGCUGUGGUUGAGGCCGUGAGCUCUGAGUCUGCAGCUCCUGCAGCCUCGCCUCCCUGCUCUUUACCCCCUGAAACCAAACAAUCCCAAGUGAACCCUUCCUGCUGUAAGUCACCUUGAUUGUGGUGUUUUUAUCACAACUAUAGAGAAGUAGCUAAUGCAGUGGAUUAUUUUUUAAGUGGUUAAGAAGUUGGAAAGGGGACAAGGUGGAGGAGGGGUUGGAGUGGGAUAGUAUGUGGAUGAACACAAUCAAAUUACAUUGCAUGUGUGAAUGGAGUUCUCAAAGAAUAAAAUGCUCCAUAAAAAAAGAAUGUGGCGAGAGGAGUCGCAGUCAGUCUGUGUUCACCAGAAUAAGCAUGUUUUAAAAAUAAAUUUCAAUCUCACAAAAUUAAAAUGUGUAGCCAAUUACUCCUUAUUACGUUAGUAAGUUCAUUUGCUGUCAUAUAGUCUUGAAGUUAGGAGAGUCUUUAGGUUUCCCUGAUUUGUUUUGUUUUUUUCUCAUUAUGCUUGAAGAAAUAACUGUCAGUGUUCCCUGGAGUCACUUAUGGUCUUGAGAGUCAGAGACAGUCUUCACUCCCUUGGCAUUCAGCUCUGUCCUGGCUAGAAUCUUGCAAAUUAACUCUGGGCUGAGCUUCCUUGAGACACAAAAUGUCAUUUCACAUUUCAUUGUCAACAAGCUAGUGAUAAGUUGAACUUUUUUGUUACAAAACUGCAACAUAAUUUCAUAUGCAGCAAACAAGAGGAAGACCCAAGCAUCCGCCCCCCUGUGCACACGCCUGAGACAGGGUUUCUCUGUGUAGCCCUGGCUGUCUUGGAACUUGCUCUAGAGUCCAGGCUGGCCUGGAACUCACAAAGAUCCACAUGCCUCUGCCUCCUGAGUGCUGGGGUUAAAGGCAUGCACCACCACUUCUCAGCAUGCCCUCAAUUUUAAGAAAAUAUUUUAUUUUUUUAUUUUAGGUGUAUGACUACUUUCUGAAUGGAUGUGUGUGCACCAGUGCCUGAGGAGGCUAGAAGAGAGCAUCAGACACUGUGAACUGUGGCUCUAGAGGCUGAGCUCGGUGGCAGGCCAGUGCAGCAAGCGCUCGUAACCACCGAGCCAGCUCUCCGCCCAGCCCAGGGCCCUCAGCCAGUGGUGAGGGUCUCUCUAGCUGGCUCAGAAAACUUAGACGUUGCAAAGCAAACGUGGGUAUAUGAAGUAAUUUUAAAAGUUAACCUUAGAAAUGGUUUUACCAAGAAUUUGUUCAUUUACACAUUCAACGUUUGUUGAGUAGCCUACAUGCUGGGGACGUGGAAGGCUAUGGUAAAGGCAGAAGACAAACGCACAGAAAUAAGGCAUGCUGUGUUAAAUUGUAAUGAAAUUCCAGAAAGGAAAAUAAAGCUGAACAGGAGGAUGAAGAAUGACAGACCUGAAAGGGGGGUGUCAGAAAUACAUGUGUGAACAGAGGCAUGCCAGAGGAAGGUCUGUGCAAAGGCAUGCAAGCGUGGUUGGUGGCUAGAAAACUGCCGUAGCUGAUGGGAGCAGCAGAGGGCUGGGAGCAGCAGGGCAGCGGCGCAGGGCCUGCAGACCUGGCGAAGAUGCUGGCUUUCGUUUGGUGAUGUCUGGCUGCCGUGUGAUGAGUCCGGGGGCUGUGGUUGUGGAAAUAGCACCACGAGGAGGCUGUGAGUCUGGGUCCUCCAGAAAGCCAGGAUGACUGAGCCUCGGAAGGGAGCCAUCUGUGGGAAGCCUAGGAAGGGGCGGGGGACAGAACAGGCUGUGAGCCUUCUGACUUCCAGGCAGGUCUGGCCCCAAGGAAGGACGGAGAGGACAAGACAAGUCAGAUGGAAAACGCUUAGAUUGUGGCACGUUUUAAGAAAAAUCAACAAGGCUAAGAGUUCUUAAGUCAAAGUCACACAUCAGGGAAUACCUCCUGUCCUAAGAACGGACCUGUUAAUCCCAGGCUGAGGUAGCUGUGAAGAACCUUGGUCUCAGGGAAAAUAGGAUAGUUUUAGAGUGCAGCUGCUGAGGCCACAGGGCAAUCACACACUGUGGGAGACCUGAAAGGUGCAGAGAUCCUUGCUCUAAAACAGGUGCAGGAGAUGGUGGUCCCCUGGGCUAGGCGGUAGGCAGACCGUGGAACCUUGCUAAUGUGGAUAUUCUGAAGGUUAAACUGACUCCAUUUGCCAGCCGAUGUGGUAUGGAAUUCGAUGGAGGACAAGAGCAACAAAGGCCUUGGUGGUUUCAUACUGUAUCGGAAACAGGUGUUGUUAUUUGCUGAGGCAGUGAAGACAACCUUGGAGGAGAGAGAUGUGCAGUUCCCUUUAAUCUUGUUUGUUCUGAAAUGUAGAGCAGCCUUUCAAAUGGAGGGUGGAGAAGCCAGCGGAAUGUACACGCCUGGCUUCAAGGAAGAGAUCUAAUCUGGAGACAGGAAUUUGAAAAUUACCCGUGCACACGAGCUGCUUACAGAUGUGGGGCCAGCUUAGCUUUUAAAAAUGUGUACCUGGGCGUGCCUCUGUGUAUGUACAUGUGCUCACGUGGGAGUGUGGGCGCCCAUGGGGUCCAGGCGAGUAUGCCAGACACCCUGGACCUGGAAUUACACAUGACUGUGAACUGUCAUCAGGGACUCGAGAACCAAACUCAGGUCCUCUGCACCUGUGCUUCUCCACACUGAGCUCAGCUCAGCUGAUGGAUGUCCAUAGAGCAGAGUUUCUGGUAAUGCCUGAGCUGGAGGAUGCUCUCCCCCAUGGAUGUGGGGACUGGGGGUGGGCACAAGAAGCCAGAACCAGAUUAAAAGCUUUCUGGAACAAUGAAUGCUCAUGCUCUAACCUCCUGCUUUAAUGUGAUGUCCACUGGUUGAGAGUUCUAUUAAUACCUAGAUGAGUGGAGUGGCUUUAAAUAAUUGGAGCUCACUUGGCCUGCAAACACGAUGGCCUUUUUGCUGAGCCCUCAACCUACUGUGCUGAGGGGCCACCUGGGAAGGAGAAAAACAGCUGUGGGUAUGUGAAUUGAAGCCAGGUGCAGAGAGCUCUUGAAGGGUGGGGUGAACUGUUCUGAGAAACAACCAGCUGUAAACUAUCUACAACCAGCUGUAAACUAUAGAGCAAAAGAGACCUGAUUUUCAGGUAUAAAAACCCUGUGCUCUGCAUGUUCGGGGUCGUCUCCUGUCUUUGGAGGGGCGACCCUAUCUCGAUAGCAAUAAAACCUCUUGCUUUUG